GGUCCAUACUUGAUUGUAAAAAGAACUCACCACGAUAAAACAUGUUUUUUAAAUCCAUUUAUACAUCGAAAACGUUUGCACCGAGAAGUACUGUUACGAUGAACACAAUGAACGAUAUUUUUGACAUGAAUCGAUUAUUAUGUUUACUUGUAAUUGCUAAAUCAUUACAUAGAGCUUUGAAAGAUUUUUGAAAUAUUACCGAGAAUGAAAAAAGAUUUCCCUGAUGAUGGACCAAAUACUCAAAUUACAGAUCGAUGAAUGUAUAUCUUAGAAACAGAGAAAAUUGACUUUCGAAAUAAAAACAACAUGCGAAUAUUGAUAUUUAACAUGUGCCAUAAGGCUAGAACGAAUCAAUUUUUAUCGUUGCUGGAUUAGAUUCUAUAAAACUUGAUAUAUUAUUUUGUUAGAAUCUCUUUUACUUGAAUAAACAAGUUCCAUAUUUAUAGAUAAAA